rnacentral:lncRNA from 1 species
CUCGGCCCGAGUUGACCUCCUAGAUCCGAUUUUGGCAAAGUUGACCGUGUUUUAUCGAUUUCAAGUAAUUAAUCGGAGAUGAAGAAAGUAAUCUCGACAACCUACCUUUAAAUUUACUCAAAAAUUAAAUAAAACUAUGUAUUUAGAUUUUUUUUAAUAAGCAAAAGUUAAUAAAGAAAAACUCAAAUUAUUGUUAAAUGAAAUACUAAAAAGAAAAAGGAACAUCAGUUUAAUCAAUUUGGAGUUGGGUAUUAGCAAAGUUGGUGAGUAUGCUACACCCACCAAAAUUCACUUAAUCACCUUGAAGUGUUUGGUGGUUUUCUAGACCACCUAGUGUUUUAUUGAACGAUCAACAAAGCAUGAUUAUUUGGGUAAACUUAAUGGCAAAAGGCUGUCUAUACCCACAAGGAAACUCAUCAUCCGAAUAGCCACUAUAAUAAAACCCCUGACUCAACCCAGAGUAUUUUUCUUAAGACGAGACUCAAACCUAUAAUCUUCACUGAAGACCAUGAGACUGCUAAUGCACCAGAAGGUCAUUGACAGGCUUAGUUCAACAAGAAAUGUUAAUGUUUAAUGUUAUAGUAAUCAAAACAGUAAAAAAAAUAUUCUCUGAAUGUUUUUAUGUUUAAAUUUGUAGUAAUUAGAUAAUAGAGUAUGACAUGUUUUAAUAUAAAUAUGAGUUAAUUGCUCGGAUGGUCCCUGUGAUAGUUAGAAAGUUGUUUGCCUAGAAAUUAAAACUGCUUGUAAUUAUUAUUUUCAAAAAAGCAAAUCCGAACACCCUUAAAUCUAUUUGUAGAGCUUCAAACAUACCUUGAUGGUUUCACUAUUCCACUCGCAUCUUGUAAUAUUUUGUGGACCUUUUUGUUUGAUGGAACAACCCUAAUGACUUGAAGAAACGACUAUUAACAACACAAAUGCAACAAAAUCAAUACAAAUAAUAAAAUCACUUGAUUAUGAUAAUCUUGAAACACAUUUGACAUACCUCUAUGACAUUAAGGGUGGCAUUUAACAAAGUUGGAAGUGCUCUAGACCCUAUGAACACAUCUCCUUCAACUGAUAGAUUCUUGUAACACACUUCAAUCUUUGGAAUUUUGAUCCCAACUCUGGUUAAAUUACAUCAUGGUAACUUUAUACUCAAAUUGUUGAAGAAAGGUAAAAAGAAUAUUAUCCUUUGAAAAUGGAUUGGACAAUUCACCUGUCAAUCCUUUCUCGAAUACGCAUAAGAAAGCUUUCAUGAUCUUCUUCGAUAAGCUUAAGCAUGUUCUCGAUAAUCUGCUUCUUAUCCGGACGAUCAAUAUGUGUGUUUCCGGUUCCUGGAUUUUCAUGAACUUGAUUCAACAUUUUAUUCUUUGAAGUUUCAUAGGUAGGAAAGUUUUCAAUGGCAGCCAGUUUGAGUUCACUUGCUUGCCCCUAUGAAAAGAAAUCCUGAGUCCGUCACUGCUUGAGAAGAAAUCCUGAGUCCGUCACUGCUUGAGUGAGCAUGCGUUAGCAAUAUAAUCAGAGAAAAUAUUAUUAGUUAGAGGUUAUUGUAUAAUCAUUACCAUAACUAAAAUAUAUGAUUAGAUAAAGUUCACUUUUUAAUUAUCAUAUAAUUCUACUCCUAUAAAUAGUUGAUCAAUAAUUAACAAUAGCUUACGGAUUUUUCGUUAUCGAAACACCAUUUAUAUUCAUCUCAGAAUUAAAGCCAGCCAAGAGCAUAACAAAUAUAAAAGAAAAAGGACAAGAAAUUAUAAAAGAAAAGGAACUUAC